rnacentral:tRNA from 1 species
GCCUGGAUGGCUCAGUUGGUUGAGCGCCUGGCUUCAGCUCAGGUCACGAUCUCACAGUUUGUGAGUUCAGGCC